rnacentral:lncRNA from 1 species
UCUUUCAAAACAUAGCAGCAUCAAUCGAUGUCAAGAGCUUUUCUUUGCUUUUGUCCUCUGGACAAAACUCCAUUCUUUUUAUGAGACCCAGAGGUCUCCCCUCAAUUUCUGGCAUUUGAUUGUACUUGGAAGAGAUUGUAAUCUCAAUUGGAGGGUCCGGAUUUUUCCUUCUGCAGAGUGGCUGCUUAGGAUUUGAUGGACGAUGGGCUCGAGACAGAAAAGGGCUGGUAAUCUUCUUCCCCUUCCACUCCCGGUUUCUCCCAGUUUUCCCUCUUGUUCUUCUUCAUCUUCCUCCCUCCCUCGAGUAGUUAGGGCUAAUUUUUUCUGUUUUCCUAUCAUUUUCCUGAUAUUUCUAUUUCAUUGGCUAAAAGCAGCAAAUCUUUUUUUUUUCUCUCAUCUCUGUCGUGUCCUUUUGUGAAACAGUAAGGACAGGGAAGGUCAAUAUUUCAUCUCCACUAUCUGAUGUGAAUUUCUAGAAUGCAGAUAUAUGGUACUUUUCUUCCCCUUUCUUUCCAUGAUUAAUGUCUCUGUUUCAUUUCUGUUUUAUCAUUGAUUUUUAAUUUUUAAUCAGAAGAAAAACUUUUAAUAUGGUCUGAGAUGAUGAAUAAUUGAUGAUUAGCUAGCUUUUAGAUAUUUAUUUACUUUCUUUUUUGUAUCUAUUUGGUGAUUUAUUGUUCCAUUUUUCGUUUUUGUCUUGGAUUUCUUCUGGAGUUCGGAGGAAAAAUGGCCACUUGUGAAAAACAACUGGUGAGUGAAAAUGUAAGUUUGCUGCAUCAAUCUGAUUUAAUUUUUCCCUCUUCCACGCCUGGUUUAGGAUUUGAUGGAUGAUUUUUUUUCCAUUUUUUUUGUUCUUUUGGUGCUACUUUUCCAAGUAUAUUAUUGGUUGUUGUUACAGGAAGGAAUAUGAAAACUUGAAGUUGACAUCUCUAAGAAGUAGUUAAAGCUGGUAAUAUUUAUUUGUGUUCUACUAUUUAUACUAUAAACCAUAGUCUUUUUCUGUAAAUGGUUUCUCUCACCUAAUUUAGCCUAUUUUUGUUUAUUGAGGUUGUUGUCAGAGAAAGGAUAAAGGUAAAAGUGAUUGGAAGAAUGAGCAAAUUUCUUCCGGUGUUUUGUGUUUUGGGUUUUAUUGUGUUUGUCAAAGUAAAUUAGAUACAGUAUCUUUUUCUUCUGUAUCUUCUUUUUUUCCCUUGGCUGGCAAACAUAAUGAAUCUGUUAUAUAAACUACUUGGUAUUCUUCGUAAUGUCAAGAUUUGGGAAGCUGUAUGAUGAAAUCUUUAUUUCAUAGUCGAUUUUUCUGGUUUUGUGGUUUUAACGUGCAAAGUGAAAUCAUUAUUAUGACUAACUUCCUUGAGGAUGUUUUGAUCAGUUCAUGAUUCAUGAGAUACAUAGUUAUAUGGAUUACAUAAAUGGAGUUUCAAAAGCAAAAUCCAUUUAAUCUACUAUGAAGAUACCAUCUUUCCUCUUUUAAAUUACUAAAAAAACUUGGCUCGAUCUUUGACUGGAAAAAUUAUGUUCAGAAAAUAGUAUUCCUGUGCGUCACACAAUUGACAUUUGAUGUUGGACCCAAUAUUGCAUUUAAAAAAAAAAAAGAAAAAUUGGAAAAUAAUGCAUAGGAACUUCUCUAGAAUUUGCUUCCAUAUAUAUGUACAAUGUUUUGUUCCCUUUGGGGAAAUUUCAUCAGUGACAUUAUUUUUAUUGAUUGAUUUCUGUUGGUAAGACCAGCUUUUAUACUCUCUCAAUAGAUUUCUUCUCUUGUUUCUGUUAUCGCCAUUUUUUUUUGUGGAUUCUUCUUUCUUCUAAGCAACUUUAAAGGUUCUUUUCUUUAUAUGAAUAUGUUAUUAUUGGGGUACAUCUAAUCCUAAUCCUACUUCUGUAGCAGGAAAUGACCAUACAUUGGGUUUUGUUACUGGUGGGUCUGCUCAUGUUCAAAUGCAACUUAGCACCAAAGAGUGUGAGAGUCUGGGAUUAACUGGUCUGGCUCUCUGCUUAGACUGCAACACCUUUGCUGAGUAUGUCAAGGACCAAGGUUGUACCUUUAUUAUAUGAAUUUUGUUGAUCCUCAGAUAUUUAUGGUUUUUGGUGGAUUUUACUUCUGGGUUUUGAUGGGUUUUUUGAAUUGAUUACUUGCUGGUAAGUACAUGGGUUGUAAAAUGGUAAUAUUUGGGAUUCUUGUUUCUGUACUAUAGCUGAUUGGUUGUCAAAAUUAACGAAUAGUGGGAGAUAGAUGCAAUUCUUAUUGCUUUUAGUUGAUUUAAGGUCUGGGUUUUUUUUUGUUUGGAUUUAUGAAUUGCUUAUUUAUAUGUGAGAUGUCAAUGGUGAUAAUUUGGAAGGAGAACUUGAAAAAGGCUAUGUUUUUAUACAAAUCAGAUCGAGAGACUAUGCUUAUAACAGUAAAUAAGUGUAUUUUGACUUUUGUUGUUUUCACUAUAAUUUUUUGUGAUUAAGUUUUGUCAAAAUAUGGAUGGGUAAAUAGUAUUUUGGAAGAUUUCUCUUUUUUCUUUUUGUACCUCAGAUAGCUUAAGGAUAAUUGCAGAAAUCGAAAUAAGAUCCUCAUUGGGAUUCUUAAAUUAUCUCAUGCAAUUAGUGGCGUUAAAUUGUAAUCUGUAGAAUUCCAAGUAACUAGCCUGGAUUAUGGUGAUGGUUCAGUUUUGUUGCUCUUGAGGAUGUUUUGCACCUGAGCUGACGAUGAUCAAGGCAUGCAAGAACAAUAGUUCUACGAUCAUGAUUUCCUAAGUUACGACUUGUAGUUCAUUAUAUUUGAUGAUUAGGACCAUACGCAUUAAAUUGGAAUAUUCUAUUGGCAUCCUUUAUUGUACCAAAUGAAGUACUAUCAAGACAAAUUCUGAAUGGAAAUAUGCCAUUUUUUGAAACCUAUACCAGAGAACCCUUAUUCUUCAACCCUUUUACAUCCAUUCUGGUGAAUUUGAAAAAUUUAAAUAGCUGAAACUUGUGUAACAGAAUUCAUCAAUUAUAUAAUGACUUAGAUUUGUUAAAGAAUUUUGGAUUGUAAGAUUACAAUAAACUUUUUGAACAUUCUGCAAUAAUUUACUUAAGAGGAAGAAAAUUGCUCAUGUCGUCAAGAAAUCCUGGAUGUUUGACAAGAUCUGCAUUUAACAUAUCCAGUUUAGAUGGCAACUUAUAUAGAUUUCUGUAUAAUAUUGGAAUGAUCUUUUUUAGCAUUCCGCAAAUAAUAUACUAAGUAGAAUAUGAUAAUCUGGAAAAUCCGAUGUUUGAAAAGACUCCGGAUGCAGUUUAGAUUUGUCAGUGCCUCUCAGAAAUCUGCCCCUUGGCUUUACCUUAGGCUUAGAGAUGGCUUGCUGGAUUGGUCUAUUUUUAUCUAUUGAUUUUCAUUGUGAAUUUUUGUGUCCAAAGCUUGGUUUUGACUUUCUUGGUUUUGCAUCUGCAUCACCGCAUGAAGCUGCAGCCGGGGAAAACUUCAUUGACAGAGUUUUCAUUAUGGGUCUAUAGAGACUGCAUUUUGGAGAUCUCUUUUGUAUGUGGAUAGGAUUAUAUGUUAUUUUAAAGUUUCUUUUAUGCAAAAAAAAAAAGGAAAAAGAAAAAGAAAAAAAGAUGUUAAAUUUGUUGUAUGUUGUUGACGUAAAACAUAUCUUGCAUCUGAAAUAUUUUCAUUGUGUAAUUAUUUGAUUUGGUUUUUCAAAACUCAUUCAUUGUCGUAAUAAGAUUUUAGACACGAGAUAAUGGCUUGUUUCUCUUAUCAGUUAUAUGUAGAUCUUUAGUCCACCAUUAUCAGUUAUAACUACGUGAUUUAUAGGCUAAAAUGCAUAUGUUGUUUUUUAUUUUCUGUUCUUUAUUUGUAUACCUAGCAUUCAUGUUUGAGAAAAAAUUGAUUGGCAGGAGGUAUUUAUCCGAAUAAGAUGGUGGCUCAAAAUGCGUGGCUCAAAAUGCAUCUGCUGUUUAUUGGCUUUCUAUUCUUUAUUUAUAUAUCCAACAUUAAUGUUUGACAAAAAGUUGAAUGGCAAGAGGUAUUAUUCAAAUAUAAUGGUGGCUCAAACUUAGGAGUAGGGAAUAUGUUCUUGACGACUUUGUUUAUAUUUCAUGUUUUAUUAUUUCCUUACAAUUUUGCAAUGAAGUGUGGCAAAAACUACGGGUGCGUUACCUGUGAUUUAACAAGAUUGUCAUUAUACUAUUUACACAAAAUGUUAUUAAAUUCUAAUAUGAUUCCUUCUUGGCAGAUCUGAUUGAUAUUUGGAUAGCUGGAACUUGGAAGCUAAUGGAAGCUUAUGGAGUUUUGUCAUGAAUGCUUGAUACUUUGUUUUAUCCUUUCCAAUAUCUUUACCAGAAGUCAUUAGUUACUUCAACAGCCACUUGCUAUAGUAGAGAUAUCAAACUUUGUGAUGCUUUUUUUUUUUUUAAUUUUGACCACUAAUACAUAGUUCCACUAUAAUUGGCUGAUUGAACGCGACGGAAGAUAAGAAAGACGAGAGGCAUUUCUAGAAAUAGCAGUCAAUAUUUCUGGAUGAAUGUAUCUUAUAUCUUAAAUUGUAACUUUUCACAGGUAAUGAGGUGCAUCGUACAGUUGGUGAGCUUAUCUCAAUUAUGUGUUAUUAUGCUCUUCAACUUUAUUAGUGUUA